rnacentral:snRNA from 1 species
GUGCUCUCUUCAGCAGUUCAUAUACUAAAAUGGGAAUAACACAGAGAAGAUUAGCAUGGUCCCUGCACAAGAAUGACACACAAAUUCAUGAAGCAUUCCAUACUUUU